UAUGAGAGUUUGAUCCUGGCUCAGGACGAACGCUGGCGGCGUGCCUAAUACAUGCAAGUCGAACGCUUCUUUUUCCACCGGAGCUUGCUCCACCGGAAAAAGAGGAGUGGCGAACGGGUGAGUAACACGUGGGUAACCUGCCCAUCAGAAGGGGAUAACACUUGGAAACAGGUGCUAAUACCGUAUAACAAUCGAAACCGCAUGGUUUUGAUUUGAAAGGCGCUUUACGGUGCCGCUGAUGGAUGGACCCGCGGUGCAUUAGCUAGUUGGUGAGGUAACGGCUCACCAAGGCCACGAUGCAUAGCCGACCUGAGAGGGUGAUCGGCCACAUUGGGACUGAGACACGGCCCAAACUCCUACGGGAGGCAGCAGUAGGGAAUCUUCGGCAAUGGACGAAAGUCUGACCGAGCAACGCCGCGUGAGUGAAGAAGGUUUUCGGAUCGUAAAACUCUGUUGUUAGAGAAGAACAAGGAUGAGAGUAACUGUUCAUCCCUUGACGGUAUCUAACCAGAAAGCCACGGCUAACUACGUGCCAGCAGCCGCGGUAAUACGUAGGUGGCAAGCGUUGUCCGGAUUUAUUGGGCGUAAAGCGAGCGCAGGCGGUUUCUUAAGUCUGAUGUGAAAGCCCCCGGCUCAACCGGGGAGGGUCAUUGGAAACUGGGAGACUUGAGUGCAGAAGAGGAGAGUGGAAUUCCAUGUGUAGCGGUGAAAUGCGUAGAUAUAUGGAGGAACACCAGUGGCGAAGGCGGCUCUCUGGUCUGUAACUGACGCUGAGGCUCGAAAGCGUGGGGAGCAAACAGGAUUAGAUACCCUGGUAGUCCACGCCGUAAACGAUGAGUGCUAAGUGUUGGAGGGUUUCCGCCCUUCAGUGCUGCAGCUAACGCAUUAAGCACUCCGCCUGGGGAGUACGACCGCAAGGUUGAAACUCAAAGGAAUUGACGGGGGCCCGCACAAGCGGUGGAGCAUGUGGUUUAAUUCGAAGCAACGCGAAGAACCUUACCAGGUCUUGACAUCCUUUGACCACUCUAGAGAUAGAGCUUCCCCUUCGGGGGCAAAGUGACAGGUGGUGCAUGGUUGUCGUCAGCUCGUGUCGUGAGAUGUUGGGUUAAGUCCCGCAACGAGCGCAACCCUUAUUGUUAGUUGCCAUCAUUUAGUUGGGCACUCUAGCAAGACUGCCGGUGACAAACCGGAGGAAGGUGGGGAUGACGUCAAAUCAUCAUGCCCCUUAUGACCUGGGCUACACACGUGCUACAAUGGGAAGUACAACGAGUCGCGAAGUCGCGAGGCUAAGCUAAUCUCUUAAAGCUUCUCUCAGUUCGGAUUGUAGGCUGCAACUCGCCUACAUGAAGCCGGAAUCGCUAGUAAUCGCGGAUCAGCACGCCGCGGUGAAUACGUUCCCGGGCCUUGUACACACCGCCCGUCACACCACGAGAGUUUGUAACACCCGAAGUCGGUGAGGUAACCUUUUUGGAGCCAGCCGCCUAAGGUGGGAUAGAUGAUUGGGGUGAAGUCGUAACAAGGUAGCCGUAUCGGAAGGUGCGGCUGGAUCACCUCCUUUCUAAGGAA
rnacentral:rRNA from 1 species